GCCUAACACAUGCAAGUCGAACGGUAACAUGAAGUGCUUGCACUUUGAUGACGAGUGGCGCACGGGUGCGUAACGCGUAUACAAUCUACCUUUUACAGGGGGAUAGCCUUUAGAAAUGAAGAUUAAUACCCCAUAGUAAGUAAUAAUGGCAUCAUUAAUACUUUAAAGAUUUAUCGGUAAAAGAUGAGUAUGCGUUCUAUUAGCUAGAUGGUGUGGUAACGGCAUACCAUGGCAACGAUAGAUAGGGGCCCUGAGAGGGGGAUCCCCCACACUGGUACUGAGACACGGACCAGACUCCUACGGGAGGCAGCAGUGAGGAAUAUUGGACAAUGGGCGAGAGCCUGAUCCAGCCAUGCCGCGUGCAGGAAGACUNNCCUAUGGGUUGUAAACUGCUUUUAUACAGGAAGAAACCUUUCCACGUGUGGGAAGCUGACGGUACUGUAAGAAUAAGGAUCGGCUAACUCCGUGCCAGCAGCCGCGGUAAUACGGAGGAUCCAAGCG
rnacentral:rRNA from 1 species